rnacentral:rRNA from 1 species
UACGUAGGGUGCAAGCGUUGUCCGGAAUUAUUGGGCGUAAAGAGCUCGUAGGCGGUUUGUCGCGUCUGCUGUGAAAACCCGAGGCUCAACCUCGGGCCUGCAGUGGGUACGGGCAGGCUAGAGUGCGGUAGGGGAGAUUGGAAUUCCUGGUGUAGCGGUGGAAUGCGCAGAUAUCAGGAGGAACACCAAUGGCGAAGGCAGAUCUCUGGGCCGUAACUGACGCUGAGGAGCGAAAGCAUGGGGAGCGAACAGG